rnacentral:lncRNA from 1 species
UGAGCUCGACUAGCCCAGUAAAGAAUAUUAUGAGUAAGAUAAUAUACAACAAAAUUAUCGUUAGUCUUCAACAGGGAAAAAUAUAAUAGAAUACAAUAGACAACAAGUUUUAAAUCAAUAUUCGCAGCGGAAAUAAUAAUUCAUUAGAAGAGUUAAGUAGAGAAUGCAAACUACUAUCUUCUAUGUAUGAAUUUUAAAGUUCGUCAUCUAUUUUUAUCCCUGUAACAUCAAUCAAUAUAUAUCUGAGAUCAAAU